GUGCCAGCAGCCGCGGUAAUACGAAGGGGGCUAGCGUUGUUCGGAAUUACUGGGCGUAAAGCGCGCGCAGGCGGUUCUCCAAGUCAGUGGUGAAAGCCCGGAGCUCAACUCCGGAACUGCCAUUGAAACUGUUGAACUUGAGGACGAGAGAGGUGAGUGGAAUUCCCAGUGUAGAGGUGAAAUUCGUAGAUAUUGGGAAGAACACCAGUGGCGAAGGCGGCUCACUGGCUCGUUUCUGACGCUCAGGCGCGAUAGCGUGGGGAUCAAACAGGAUUAAUACCCGCGUAGUCC
rnacentral:rRNA from 1 species